UACGUAGGGUGCAAGCGUUGUCCGGAAUUAUUGGGCGUAAAGAGCUCGUAGGCGGUGUGUCGCGUCGGCCGUGAAAACCUGCAGCUUAACUGUGGGCGUGCGGUCGAUACGGGCAUCACUGGAGUUCGGCAGGGGAGACUGGAAUUCCUGGUGUAGCGGUGAAAUGCGCAGAUAUCAGGAGGAACACCGGUGGCGAAGGCGGGUCUCUGGACCGAUACUGACGCUGAGGAGCGAAAGCGUGGGGAGCAAACAGG
rnacentral:rRNA from 1 species